rnacentral:misc_RNA from 1 species
AAAAUGCGAUAAGUAAUGUGAAUUGCAGAAUUCAGUGAAUCAUCGAAUCUUUGAACGCACAUUGCGCCCGCCAGUAUUCUGGCGGGCAUGCCUGUUCGAGCGUCAUUACAACCCUCAGGCCCCCGGGCCUGGCGUUGGGGAUCGGCGGAAGCCCCCUGCGGGCACAACGCCGUCCCCCAAAUACAGUGGCGGUCCCGCCGCAGCUUCCAUUGCGUAGUAGCUAACACCUCGCAACUGGAGAGCGGCGCGGCCACGCCGUAAAACACCCAACUUCUGAAUGUUGACCUCGAAUCAGGUAGGAAUACCCGCUGAACUUAAGC